rnacentral:rRNA from 1 species
GAUGAAUUAAAACUUUCAACAAUGGAUCUCUUGAUUCCGGCUUCGAUGAAGAACGCAGCGAAAUGCGAUAACUAGUGUGAAUUGCAGAAUUCAGUGAAUCAUCGAGUCUUUGAACGCACAUUGCGCCCAAGGGCACUCCUUUGGGCAUGCCUGUUCGAGCGUCAUCUAAACCCUUCAAGCCCAGCUUGGCGAUGGGCGCCUGUCCGCCGCGUGCGGACCCGCCCCAAAUAUAUUGGCAGCCGGCCGACCCGCCCCGAAGCGCAGCAGAAGCGCGCGUCGCGAGGCGGGCGCCGGCGCUCCAGCGAGCGAACACCACCCCAUUUGACCUCGAAUCAGGCAGGGAUACCCGCUGAACUUAAGCAUAUCAAUAAGGCGGA